CACGUAGGGUGCAAGCGUUGUCCGGAAUCAUUGGGCGUAAAGAGCUCGUAGGCGGUUCGGUAAGUCGGGUGUGAAAACUUUGGGCUCAACCCAAAGCGUGCACUCGAUACUGCCAUGACUAGAGUUCGGUAGGGGAGUGGGGAAUUCCUAGUGUAGCGGUGAAAUGCGCAGAUAUUAGGAGGAACACCGGUGGCGAAGGCGCCACUCUGGGGCCGAAACUGACGCUGAGACGCGAAAGCGUGGGGAGCAAACAGG
rnacentral:rRNA from 1 species